rnacentral:rRNA from 1 species
UUGGAGGGCAAGUCUGGUGCCAGCAGCCGCGGUAAUUCCAGCUCCAAUAGCGUAUAUUAAAGUUGUUGCAGUUAAAAAGCUCGUAGUUGAAUUUCGGGGUUAGUAGGUUGGUCAUGCCUCUGGUAUGUACUGGUCUCACUGAUUCCUCCUUCCUGAUGAACCUUAAUGCCAUUUAUUUGGUGUUGCAGGGAGUCUGGACUGUUACUUUGAAAAAUUAGAGUGUUUAAAGCAGGCUAACGCCUGAAUACAUUAGCAUGGAAUAAUGAAAUAGGACGUUCGAUCCUAUUUUGUUGGUUUCUAGGAUUGACGUAAUGAUUAAUAGGGAUAGUUGGGGGCAUUAGUAUUCAAUUGUCAGAGGUGAAAUUCUUGGAUUUAUUGAAGACUAACUACUGCGAAAAGCAUUUGCCAAGGAUGUUUUCAUUAAUCAAGAACGAAAGUUAGGGGAUCGAAGACGAUCAGAUACCGUGUAGUCUUAACCAUAAACUAUACCGACUAGGGAUCGGAUGAUGUUAAUUUUUAAUGACUCAUUCGGC